UACGUAGGGUGCGAGCGUUAAUCGGAAUUACUGGGCGAAAGCGUGCGCAGGCGGCGCGUUAAGACAGGUGUGAAAGCCCCGAGCUUAACUUGGGAAUUGCGCUUGUGACUGGCGUGCUGGAGUGUGGCAGAGGGAGGUGGAAUUCCACGUGUAGCAGUGAAAUGCGUAGAGAUGUGGAGGAACACCGAUGGCGAAGGCAGCCUCCUGGGCCGACACUGACACUGAGAGACGAAAGCUAGGGGAGCAAAUGGG
rnacentral:rRNA from 1 species